rnacentral:rRNA from 1 species
UACAGAGGUCCCAAGCGUUGUUCGGAUUCACUGGGCGUAAAGGGUGCGUAGGUGGUUUGAUAAGGGUGUGGUGAAAGUCCGGAGCUCAACUCCGGAUCUGCCGUGCCGACUGUCAAACUCGAGGGCUGUAGAGGCAGACGGAAUUCCGGGUGUAGCGGUGGAAUGCGUAGAGAUCCGGAGGAAGACCGGUGGCGAAGGCGGUCUGCUGGGCAGUUUCUGACACUGAGGCGCGACAGCGUGGGGAGCAAACAGG